AUUCUCCCCUCUCAGCCAGAGGGGGCAAGAGGAGAGACUGCUGUAGCUGAAUCCAGAACAUUUCCUGACUCCUAUUUCUGUGAGAAAGCAAGGUUCCUUAACAGAAAGUACUGAAUUUGACAAGAAGAAUACACAGCAAGAAAGCAGCCAUCUGCAAGCCAGAAGAGAGCCCUCAUAGGAACGCAACCAUGCCAGCACCCUGAUCUUGGAUUUCCAGCCUCCAGAACUGUGGGAAAAUAAACAUUUGUUGUUUAAGCCACAGUGUAUGGUAUUGUUAUAGCACCCCGAAGUGACUAGGAAACCAUGCAAGUCUGCACUACACAAAUAAGCAGCCAUGGUCUUUCAUCAUGUCAGAGAGCAUGUGCUUUUCCAGUUGGAUGGCAAUGAUGUAGAAGACCAAUACCGCCUUAGCCUUCCUGGUCACCCUCAUAGCAGUAAGCACAGGAUGGGCACAUAUACUGGAAGCUGAGAAGUCCAAGAUAAAGGUGCAGCAGAUUCAGUAACUGAAAAGGCAGAGCAGCAAGACAGACAGACUAUGGGUUUUGGCGUCUGAUAGAUCUCAGCUGGCUCCCAGCUCCACCACUUCCUAUUCAUCAUGGUUAGUUCCAAGCAGAGUGGUGCUUCUCAAGCUUGAAUGGUUACACCAAACACCUGUGGAUGUUGUAGGACUGCAAAGUCUGAUUCAGGGAGACUGGUGUGGGGCCUGAGAUUCUGCAUUUGUGACAAGCACCCAGGUGAUAACUAUGCUGCUGAACCACGGACCACACCUGGAGAGGUGAGGCUCUAGAAUCCACAGGAGCCACUGUCUCUGCCCUUAAAGAAAAUCAAUCCUUUGUAAGAUUUUCCUAUGUGGAAUAACAUUCUCUCUGUUGGACCAUGAGCCUAUUAAAUGACACUAUCACCGCUUUAAUGAUCCCUAUUAGUUGAAAAUGUUUCCCAAGUAGGUUUAUAAUACAUGGUAUCACUUACUCCUUGACCACAGGGUGUUUAUGGUAACUCACUUCAAGUAAUACAGCAUGUGAAAAAAGAGAACCCAGCACUGCCCUAUGCAAAGAGCAGACAGCAAGAGGGUUUGGAAGCCCACCAGGAAGUUAGACUGUUGUUUCUGUCCAAGAGAAGCCAACAUUGUACCACAGGCCUGAAGUCUGGGUGGCCCUUUGGGUUUCUAGUCUACAUCAGAAGCAAACAAAAAUGACUUUAUGAUAAUUAGCCUCCACAACAUGCUUUCAAGGGAGGCAUUAUUAGACCCAAGUUAUAGGUGGAGAAACUGUAGACAUGAGGAAGUCAUUUUGCUCAUCCAAGGCCACCCAAAGUGUCAGGGAUGAAAAUGAGGUUAAGAAUAAAAAAAACUAGGGUAAUCAGUCCUCAGUGUAAGCCAUGGGACAUUUCCUACGAGGAAUGUUUAUGCACUAGUAAAGAAGUCUAUAUUAAAAUAAGGGGUAGAAAAGCACAAAAGAGGUCUAGGUAAGAUAUUCUGUUACUUUUGUUAUAAUUUGUUACAAUUUUGAACGUAUUAUAUUUGCCAUGAGCACCUUUUACAAUCAUGGUUUCUUGGAUUUCUUUUAUUAUUAUGCCUGGACACAUUAUUUAACUUCUCUGUGCCUGAGUUUUGCCUGUGGAAAACGGAGAUUAUGAUAGGACUUUUUGAGGAUGAAAUGAGAUAAUAUAUGGAAGGAACUUCAGCAGAGUCCGGCAUGUGGAUCACCUGAUUAAGUUCCAAGAAAAACCCUAUUGAGAUUUUCGCUGUAACUUGCAAAGCACUUUGGGGGAGCAAUGGUAUCUUGUCAAUACUGAGUCUUCAUAACACAGUGAAAACGACUUAGAGAAAAUAGCAGCCAUAGAUAUGGCUAAAAUGUGAAUGAAGCUGGAGGCAGGGGAGGACCACACACCAUGAAAUGUAAACAGAGGAGAAAAAAAGCUAGAUGCCAGACAAGAAGAGAAGAACCAGGAGAGCAGUCUUCACAAACAGAGGUAAAUGUAACUAAGGCUGAAAUAAGAAAUCUGAUAGUUUUUAAAGGAAAAAAAAAUCAGAGUAAUCAAUUAUUCCUUAGCAUGCACAAAUGUUCUGCAGAACAGGUAAAUUUAACUUCUCAGGGUUUGUUUUUGAACUAUUCUCAACCUUAUGGAAUCCUGCCUUCCAUAAUUGGUGAUUUACAUCAGGGCACUUCUCUACAAAAGAAAGAAUUUUUUUUCUCAAAUAAUUGGAUUAGGUCUACCACCACUAAUUAAAACAGUGAAUAUAUCAUCUCUCAGCAGUCUCUUACAUUGUUAGACAAACAACAACUAUGUUUGACUGGCAUGGAAAAAUUAGCUUAAUGGAGUUAGAAGAUAAGACAGGUUUUUAGAGGAGAGAGCAAAUUAUUCUGUACAUGUAAGACGAUUUUGUUUUAUAGUUCUAAAUUUCAAAAGAGUAUUAAUCAAAGUUUUAUAAUGGUUACAUAGACUUAUUUUGAUUUUGGCAUUUAUUCACAAAGAGUUCUUUCUUAUUAUAUUAUGAGAUGAAGCAAACUUAAAA